AACAAGGCGUACCUGCGGACCUGCGGAAGGAUCAUUACAGAGUUGAAAAACUCCCAAACCACUGUAAACCUUACCUAACUGUCGCUUCGGCGGAGGCAUCCCCAGGGUGCUGCGCCCUCUCCUCCGGGAGGGGGCCCGCCUGAAGUCUGCUAAACUAUGUUAUUUAUUGGCAUCUCUGAGGCAUUAUAAAAUGAAUCAAAACUUUUAACAAUGGAUCU
rnacentral:misc_RNA from 1 species